GCCUUCGUAGUGUAGUGUUCAGCACGCUGGGCGCUUAUUCCAGAGGUCCGUGGUUCGAUUCCGGGUGAAGGCG
rnacentral:tRNA from 1 species